GAUGAACGCUGGCGGCGUGCCUAAUACAUGCAAGUCGAGCGAACGGACGAGAAGCUUGCUUCUCUGAUGUUAGCGGCGGACGGGUGAGUAACACGUGGAUAACCUACCUAUAAGACUGGGAUAACUUCGGGAAACCGGAGCUAAUACCGGAUAAUAUUUUGAACCGCAUGGUUCAAAAGUGAAAGACGGUCUUGCUGUCACUUAUAGAUGGAUCCGCGCUGCAUUAGCUAGUUGGUAAGGUAACGGCUUACCAAGGCAACGAUGCAUAGCCGACCUGAGAGGGUGAUCGGCCACACUGGAACUGAGACACGGUCCAGACUCCUACGGGAGGCAGCAGUAGGGAAUCUUCCGCAAUGGGCGAGAGCCUGACGGAGCAACGCCGCGUGAGUGAUGAAGGUCUUCGGAUCGUAGAACUCUGUUAUUAGGGAAGAACAUAUGUGUAAGUAACUGUGCACAUAUUGACGGUACCUAAUCAGAAAGCCACGGCUAACUACGUG
rnacentral:rRNA from 1 species